ACAAAGGGUGAUGAUGCCGAGCCCAUGGAGACCAUGACCUUCCUUGAUCUUGUCACCAAGGUCUCUAUCCAACACCUGCACAUGCCCACCCACUGUCGUCGCCAAACUGCACAUGAUCAGAGUCAUGAGAAGUGGCACACACUCCCUCUCGAGAUGGUAAUACUCAACAUAGGAGAAGGUUACCUUGAGAUCAGAGAAGGGGAUGGUGACAACGUGGAUGGUCGGCGGUCGCUCCUGCACCUCCUCCUCCUGCAUCUGUAGGGCAGGUUCGCCUGUUCGUCGGACAUUGGUGGCCGGUGCUUGACCUAUG
rnacentral:lncRNA from 1 species